rnacentral:lncRNA from 1 species
CCAUAAAAAUUUUACUACAAUUGGACCAUAGGAACUACAUAUAUGAAUUAUUUUAAUUAAUUACAGAAAAACAUAGAUUUAAAGCUACAGAAAAAACUUUGUACUAAAGUAUAUCAUAUUAUAUAUUCACUAUGUAGAUCUACUCAUCAGGAGUCCAACAAAAUUGAAUUUUUUAUUUUAUGAUUUUUAUGUGAUUUAUUAUGAUUUUUCAAAGAUUCAGCAAAAAUAAAUAAAAAAGAAAAAAACAAAACCACCCUCUAAAACCACUCGAGGGGGUUAUUUGACCGGUUUUGAAAGUUCAGGGGGUAGAAUAUCCGGUUUUAUACUUUGGGGGGUAAAGUAUUCCAGCUUAGAUAGUUUGGGGGAUUAUGUAAACUUUUUCCAAAACAAAAACUAAUUACACAGUUUAGCUGUAAAUUACGAGACAAAUCUUUUGAUCCUAGUUAGUUUAUGAUUGGAUAAUAUUUGUCACAAAUAAACGAAAUGCUACAGUAUCGAAAACUUUUCACU